GCUGAGGCCCCAAAACAGAAAGGAAAGCUCACCACCAGAAUGUGCCUUUUCCUUAUCAAAAAGAAUUGCUGCCCCUUACAGGACAGGAGGACUCCAAUUGUGACCAAGUUGGAGCAGCCUUGAGCCACAACUCAGACUUAUUUUCAUUCUCUGCUCAUUGGCCAUUAGGAACCCGAUCCUUAUGACCUGCAGUGACCUGCUGCUACCAGAACUGACUCGCUUCAAAGUGACGGAUGAAACCCAUAUGGAGAUAUUCCUGGGGUGGGUAGGCCAGUUGGAAGACAGAGUGUUUACACCUGAGAGAGGACUUGAGGAAUAAAAACUUUAGGAUGGGUUAACGUAACACAACCUUAACCAAGUGAUCCAACUUAAUAUCCUCAAUAAUAGGACAAACUGAUAUCAUCUGCCUACAGUUAUGACACCCUGAGGAGGAAACAUCACUUCUUUAAUAUUCCUGCCAAAAGAAAAGAAAAGCAUGACCUCAUAACCUGAAUUCAAUCAGGAGGAAACAUGCAACAAACCCAAAUUGAGGAACAUUCUACAAAGUAAUUGGGCUGAAUUCUUAAAGUCAAAAUCAUAAAAGAUGAAAGCUGAGUAAAUUUUCUGGAUUAAAGGAGACAAACUGGACAUGGCAAUUAAAUUUAAUGUCAAAUUCUGAAUUGGAUCCUGGCAUAUAAAAAAGAAAUGUAGCUACAGAAAACAUCAUUGGGAAAAUUAAUAAAAUUUGAAUAUGAAAUAUGGAUGAAAAA
rnacentral:lncRNA from 1 species